rnacentral:tRNA from 1 species
GCAGUGGUGGUUCAGUGGUAGAAUUCUUACCUUUUGUGUGGGAGACCUGGGUUUGAUUCCCAACCAAUGCC